rnacentral:rRNA from 1 species
GUGUCAGCAGCCGCGGUAAUACGAAGGGAGCAAGCGUUGCUCGGAUUUAUUGGGCGUAAAGGGUGUGUAGGUGGUUUUGUAAGUUAGAUGUGAAAGCCCAGGGCUUAACCCUGGAACUGCAUUUAAGACUGCAUUACUUGAAGACCGAAGAGGUAAGCAGAAUUCCCAGUGUAGAGGUGAAAUUCGUAGAUAUUGGGAAGAAUACCAAUGGCGUAGGCAGCUUACUGGUCGGUACUUGACACUGAGGCACGAAAGCGUGGGGAGCAAACAGGAUUAGAUACCCUGGUAGUCC